rnacentral:tRNA from 1 species
AUUUUUGUAGUUGAAUACAACGGUGGUUUUUCGGACCAUAGGUCUUGGUUGAAUCCAGGCAAGAAUU